rnacentral:tRNA from 1 species
GCGGGUGAUCGAUAAGGUCUUCAAAUCCAGAAUGGCCUUGCAGUCAGCA